UUGAAAGCAUCCAUCUUGUCUCCUCAGAAUCUCCUCUUUUUGAAACUAAAUAUUCCUAGUUUUUUCAGGUGGUUUGUAUUGAAAGAGCUGUCUGAAUCUUCUAGGUCUUAUGACCCACAAGAUGGAGGACUAGACCUUCUCUCUUAUCCUCACAAUCUCUUAAAACUCCUCAAAAUGAAUUUGGUGCCAAAGCUAAAAUAAUUUCAGCUAUUUUCAUAGUUUAGGACAUUCAGAACUCAAAAGAUUAAUAGGAAAAAAACUCAUUAACUGAUACCUGCUCUAUCACUGACAUUGAAGUGGCACUAACUGAACUAAGGAUCUGAUGCCUAGACUUGCAACAUAACCCAAUCACAUUCCCCAGUCUUACUCCCUCUUUUCUUGCAGUUGAGAUGUAGGCUAUAGGCUGAAGAAAUUUGCUAGGGCAUUAGUGGUCAGUGCCAUGGCAACACUGCAAAAGAUCUCUGCAAGAUAAUGGAGGAAAAAAGAAAGGAUCAUUAAUAUGACUGGGCUUGAAAUAGACUUCAACCACACAUGCCAACCAUAACUUCUCUCAGAGCUCCUCAAAUCAAAAUGACAGAAAUCACUCUUGGCACUGUGGCAUUAGUGUGGCAGUGCUCUAAACUGUGGAAUUUGAGAAUGGAGGGGAAAAGGGUGUGGAACUGAGCAUCAUGUGUGAGGUUAGGGGAAAGAGAACCAUGCAUCAUUUCCAACAAGCCUGAGAAAAAGAGCCUAACAUCCAGUUGGAGCCAAUUUUGUCUCCCUAAAAGUCACUUGGGACAGAGAUUUAAAUUGGAGAACUAUGAAGUGCCCAUUAGGGGAGGAUACUUAAAUGCUUUAAGAUCCAGGCCCCCAGGGUAACCACCAUCAGAGGAGAGGGAGUCAGAAAGUGAGCAAUAGAAGAAAAGAAAGCUGAAAAAGACUGAAAUUGCCAAAGAUGUUGAGAGAUGAAAAACACAAAGACCUUGAACAUAGGUAGACAAAUUAAUUGGGGAGACAUUAACAACAGAAGGAAAUAUGACUUCCAGAUUUAGCAAAUGAGUUCCAGCAUCUAUAAACAUAUACUGCAAAACAAAGGGAAAUGAUUCAACAUUUGAUUAGACAAGUGACCCUGUGAAAUUUGAGAACAGAAAAAUAUAACAUAUUCUUCCUUAGUGGCUUAAAAUAGAGAGUUAUGAGAACAGAUCUUAUGGCCUCCACAGCAAAAAUAAUGGUCAGAAUAGAAAAAGUUGAAACUGCAAUGACAAGUCUCACUAGAGAAACAAAAGAGAAAAUAACUUAUUGGGAAUACAAUUCUAUAAAAGUGAAAGACAAUCUAAAAAAAGAAAAGCAAAAAGCAAUAAUGUAAAAAGAAACUAUGUUAUCUGUCCAAGCAAUAUACUCAUCUCUAAGAUAUGGUAUUAGAGACCAUUUAAAAGAUAAGUUUCCCAGAAGAUCACAAGUCAAAAAAUUUGAAAACAAUGAUGCAAGAAACAAUAGAAGAAAACUUCCCAGAACUGAGCAUAGCAAAUGAAAUACCAAUUGAAAAUAAUUCACAGAUCUUCUCCAGAAAAAAACCAAGGCUGUAAACUCCUAGAUACAGAGUAUUAAAUUUAAUAAUUCAAUUCAGAAACAAACAACCAGGAUAAAGACUUUCAAAUACAAUGGAAAGGAAGUUAAGAAUAGCACAAGACUAUUCUAUAGCCACCAGAAAACUCAUGAGGGAAUGGAAUAUAUUCUAAAGAGCAAAGGAAUUCAGGAUAUAGCCCAAGGUGACCUCUUCAAAUCUGAGCUUUACUAUAAAUAAAAAAAGAUAUGAUCACAAGAAGCAUUUGAAGCAUUCUUAGAAGGAAAACCAGACCUAAAGAUACUAGUUGCUUCUCAAACACUCAGACAACAGAGUUGCAAGAGGAGUGAAUAAAUGCAUCAGCAAAAAAACAAGACAGAAAAAGAAUGACAGCAGAGACACUAGUAAUAGAUUUCUUUCUUAAUGUCCACAAAGCUUUGGGUGAAAGUGGAAAACAGAUGGAGGUAAUGGUGAAAAAGUGAGCGUUGGACAUCGUGGACAUAACCACGUGACACCCUGCCUAAAAAUGAACUAGUGGGUUUUGUUUUGUUUUGUUUUGGGGAGUGGGGGAACUCCAUUACAAAGUAGGAGAGGAAGGCAGGGGGACAGAGGGGAAUAUGUGAUGUGCUUGGGUCAAAUCAAGAUUGAGCAAUGAGAGGAAGGUGGCCCUUUUAGUCUCCUAGGAAGAAAAGAGCCCUUAGGUAUAAGGUAAGGAAGAGAGAUGCCAGUCGAAUUGACAGGUAGUCUGAAGAAGCAGCCGGGAAAGGGAAGGGAAUAUUGGGAGUUCUGAAAGAGCUGACUAGAACUUUGAAGUCAACAGCCAGGAGGGGGCACUUCCAAUCUGGGAAGUGAACAGGGAAGGUGUUUUCCUGGGAGCGGGAGCCAAGAGCCCAUUCAGCUGAGACUUGUCUUCCUUCUGCAAUCCCAAAAAUACCUCCACUGAGACUCUGCUAUAACAACUACAUCUCUUCUCAAAAAGGACUUAGUUUGAACUCUUUUUGACCGGAGAUGAAUAAAUUGAAGACCAGAGAAGCAAAGAAAGAAAAGAAAUGCCAUAACAGAGACCAGAACCUGUCUCCCAUGACUAAAUCUGGAGCUUUUUACACUGAGGAACAAGGAAAAUGUUGCCUCCUUAGCCAUUUUUUAUUCCUUCAAAGGAAUAUUUCUUCUUAGAUUUGUAUUGGUCAUUUUCUCCCCUACCACUCUAGAUGAGAAUCCUCUCCUGCAGCCUU